rnacentral:rRNA from 1 species
AACGCACUGACGGAGAACUUGUUCUCUUGACGUGAGUGGCGCACGGGUGAGUAACACGUGGGAAACCUACCCUUCAGCGGGGGAUAACCAUCGGAAACGAUGACUAAUACCGCAUAGACGACAGAACCGCCUGGUUCAAUCGGGAAAGACGGCUUCGGCUGUCACUGAAGGAUGGUCCCGCGCUGCAUUAGCUAGUUGGUAAGGUAACGGCUUACCAAGGCGAUGAUGCAUAGCCGACCUGAGAGGGUGAUCGGCCACAUUGGGACUGAGACACGGCCCAAACUCCUACGGGAGGCAGCAGUAGGGAAUCUUCCGCAAUGGACGCAAGUCUGACGGAGCAACGCCGCGUGUGUGAAGAAGGUUUUCGGAUCGUAAAGCACUGUUAUUAGAGAAGAACAGCCGAUAGAGUAACUGUUAUCGGUUUGACGGUAUCUAACCAGAAAGUGACGGCUAACUACGUGCCAGCAGCCGCGGUAAUACGUAGGUCACAAGCGUUGUCCGGAUUUAUUGGGCGUAAAGGGAGCGCAGGCGGUUUGUUAAGUCUGAUGUGAAAGCCCACGGCUCAACCGUGGAACGGCAUUGGAAACUGGCAAACUUGAGUAUAGAAGAGGAAAGUGGAAUUCCAUGUGUAGCGGUGAAAUGCGUAGAUAUAUGGAGGAACACCAGUGGCGAAGGCGACUUUCUGGUCUAUAACUGACGCUGAGGCUCGAAAGCGUGGGGAGCGAACAGGAUUAGAUACCCUGGUAGUCCACGCCGUAAACGAUGAGUGUUAAGUGUUGGGGGGGCUUCCACCCCUCAGUGCUGGCGUUAACGCAAUAAACACUCCGCCUGGGGAGUACGACCGCAAGGCUGAAACUCAAAGGAAUUGACGGGGACCCGCACAAGCGGUGGAGCAUGUGGUUUAAUUCGA